AUUGAACGCUGGCGGCAUGCCUUACACAUGCAAGUCGAACGGCAGCACGGGAGCAAUCCUGGUGGCGAGUGGCGAACGGGUGAGUAAAGUAUCGGAACGUGCCCAGUCGUGGGGGAUAACGUAGCGAAAGUUACGCUAAUACCGCAUACGAUCUAUGGAUGAAAGCGAGGGAUCGCAAGACCUCGCGCGAUUGGAGCGGCCGAUAUCAGAUUAGGUAGUUGGUGGGGUAAAGGCUCACCAAGCCGACGAUCUGUAGCUGGUCUGAGAGGACGACCAGCCACACUGGGACUGAGAAACGGCCCAGACUCCUACGGGAGGCAGCAGUGGGGGAUUUUGGACAAUGGGCGAAAGCCUGAUCCAGCCAUGCCGCGUGCAGGAUGAAGGCCUUCGGGUUGUAAACUGCUUUUGUACGGAACGAAAAGGUUUGGCCUAAUAAGCUGAGCUCAUGACGGUACCGUAAGAAUAAGCACCGGCUAACUACGUGCCAGCCGCCGCGGUAA
rnacentral:rRNA from 1 species